rfam:Clostridiales bacterium 38_11 MPI_scaffold_115, whole genome shotgun sequence.
UGAGCAAGUCGGAUAGCUGCAUGGAGACAUGAGGAAAGUCCGAGCUUCACAGAGCAGAAUGCUGGUUAAUGGCCAGUGAGGGUGACCUUAAGGAAAGUGCAACAGAAAAUUACCGCCUGAAAAGGUAAGGAUGAAAAGGUGAGGUAAGAGCUCACCAGCGACCAGGUGACUGGCCGGCUGUGUAAACCCCAUUCGAAGCAAGACCAAGUAGGGAUGUGAAAGCAGCUGCUCGCUGUAUCCCGUGGUAGGUUGCAUGAGCCUUUUGGUAACAGAAGGCCUAGAUAGAUAGCUAUCAAUAACAGAACUCGGCUUAUAGACUUGCUCAUGAA